rnacentral:rRNA from 1 species
GUCUACGGCCAUGCCACCCUGAACAAGCCAGAUUUCUGAUCUCGGAAGCUAAGCAGGGUCGGGCCUGGUUAGUAUUUGGAUGGGAGACCACCUAGGAAGACUAGGUACUGUAGGUA